GAUCAUGGCUCAGGAUGAACGCUGGCGGCGUGCUUAACACAUGCAAGUCGAACGAAGCACUUUAACCUGAUUCUUCGGAUGAAGGUUUUGUGACUGAGUGGCGGACGGGUGAGUAACGCGUGGGUAACCUGCCUCAUACAGGGGGAUAACAGUUAGAAAUGACUGCUAAUACCGCAUAAGACCACGGAGUCGCAUGGCUCAGUGGGAAAAACUCCGGUGGUAUGAGAUGGACCCGGCGU
rnacentral:rRNA from 1 species